CCGCAAGGUGGGCCGGCAGCCCGCGGCCCCCUCAUCCGACCCGGACCAAACGCCGGCCCCAUCCCCGCCCUCGGCCGCCGUCCCUGUUUGUUGAGCAAGAUGUCGGUGAAGGAGGGCGCGCAGCGCAAGUGGGCGGCGCUGAAGGAGAAGCUGGGGCCGCAGGACUCGGACCCCACGGAAGCCAACCUGGAGAGCGCCGAGCCCGAGCUCUGCAUCCGGCUGCUGCAGGUGCCCUCCGUGGUCAACUACUCGGGGCUGCGCAAGCGGCUGGAGGGCAGCGACGGCGGCUGGAUGGUGCAGUUCCUGGAGCAGAGCGGCCUGGACCUGCUCCUGGAGGCCCUGGCGCGCCUGUCGGGCCGCGGCGUGGCUCGCAUCGCCGACGCCCUGCUGCAGCUCACGUGCGUCAGCUGCGUGCGCGCCGUAAUGAACUCCCAGGAGGGUAUCCGGUACAUUCUCAGCAACCAGGCCUACGUGCGCCAGCUCUCCCUGGCUCUGGACACGUCCAACGUGAUGGUCAAGAAGCAGGUGUUUGAGCUGCUGGCCGCCCUGUGCAUCUACUCGCCCGAGGGCCACGCCCUGACCCUGGACGCCUUGGACCAUUACAAGACGGUGUGCGGCCAGCAGUACCGCUUCAGCGUCAUCAUGAGCGAGCUCUCGGACAGCGACAACGUGCCCUACGUGGCCACCCUGCUCAGCGUGGUCAACGCCAUCAUCCUCGGCCCCGAGGACGUCCGCGCCCGCGCCCAGCUGCGCAGCGAGUUCAUCGGGCUGCAGCUGCUGGACGUCCUGACACGGCUUCGAGACCUGGAGGAUGGGGACCUGCUGAUCCAGCUCGAGACCUUCAGGGAGGCCAAGGCCGAGGACGAGGAGGAGCUGCUGCGGGCCUUCGGCGGCAUCGACAUCAACAGCCACCAGGAGGUCUUCUCCGCGCUCUUCCACAAGGUGAGCUGCUCCCCGGCGUCUGCCCACCUGCUCUCGGUGCUGCAGGGCCUCCUGCACCUGGAGCCCAGCCUCCGCUCCAGCCAGCUGCUCUGGGAGGCCCUGGAGAGCCUGGUGAACCGGGCGGUGCUCCUGGCCACAGACGGCCAAGAGUGCACCCUGGAGGAGAUGGUUGAACGCCUCCUGUCCAUCAAGGGGCGGCCCCGCCCCCGCUCCCUGGACAAGGCCCACAAGAGCACCCAGGCCGACCUUGGCCAGAGCCAAAGGGGCAGCUCCCCGCAAAACUCUGGCGCCCCGACAGCAGACCUGGGUGGCCAGCAGCCAGCCGCGGCCCUCGGCAGCCCUCUCGUCGCCAGCAACCAGGGCGAGCGCGGGCCUGCACCGCAGCCAACAGCCCCAGAGCAGCUGGAGCGACCCCCGCCCCCACCGGCGCCCCCGCUCCCUGGCCCCACGACCGCGCCCCCUCCCCCGCCCCCUCCCCCACCUCCCCCUCCGCCGCCGCCCCCGCCCCUGCCGAGCAUGAGGGCUGCAUUCCCCUCGCCCCCGCCGCCCCCGCCACCCCCACUGCCUAACUCUGCUGGGACCAUACCGCCCCCACCUCCCCUCCCGGGCCUGGGGGGCCCGCCCCCGCCGCCGCCCCUGCCCUGCGUCUCCGGGCCCCCUGCCGUGGGCGACGUGGAGGAGAUCAUCGUGGCCCAGGUGGACAGCGGCCUGGGCUCGGCCUGGGUCCCCCGCCACCGGCGCGUGAACCCUCCCACCCUGCGCAUGAAGAAGUUGAACUGGCAGAAGCUGCCAUCCAGCGUGGCCCGCGAGCACAGCUCCAUGUGGGCGACGUUGAGCAGCCCCGACGCCGAGGUGGUGGAGCCCGACUUCUCCAGCAUCGAGCGGCUCUUCUCCUUCCCCACGGCCAAACCCAAGGAGCAGGCGGUGGCCCCGGCCAGGAAGGAGCCCAAGGAGAUCACUUUUCUGGACUCCAAGAAGAGCCUGAACCUCAACAUCUUCCUAAAGCAGUUUAAAUGCUCCAACGAGGAGGUCACUGCCAUGAUCCGGGCGGGGGACAGCACCAAGUUCGACGUGGAGGUCCUCAAGCAGCUCCUCAAGCUCCUUCCGGAGAAGCACGAGAUUGAGAACCUGCGCUCCUUCACGGAGGAUCAGGCCAGGCUCGCCAGCGCCGACCAGUUCUACCUCCUCCUGCUGAGCAUCCCCUGCUACCAGCUUCGGAUCGAGUGCAUGCUGCUGUGUGAGGGCACGGCCGUCGUGUUGGACAUGGUGCGGCCUAAGGCCCAGCUGCUGCUCGCCGCCUGUGAGAGCCUGCUCACCAGUCGCCGGCUGCCGGUCUUCUGCCAGCUGAUCCUGAAAAUCGGGAACUUUCUCAACUACGGCAGCCACACUGGGGACGCCGAUGGAUUCAAGAUAAGCACACUGCUGAAGCUCACGGAGACCAAGUCCCAGCAGAGCCGGGUCACACUGCUGCACCACAUGCUGGAGGAAGUGGAGGAGAGCCACCCUGACCUCCUGCAGCUACCCCAGGACCUGGAGCUGCCUGCCCGAGCCGCAGGGAUCAACCUUGAUGCCGUCCACUCGGAGUCCAGCACUAACCUGAAGAAGCUCCUGGAGAUGGAGCGGAAGGUGUCCUCCUCCAUCCCGGAGGUGCAGGAGCAGUACACCCACCGCCUCCAGGCCAGUAUCACAGACUCACAGGCUCUGGAGGAGGUGUUCCAGGUUAUCGAGCAGAAGCAGCUGGAGCUGGCUAGUUACCUGUGUGAGGAUGCCCAGCAGCUGUCCCUGGAGGACACGCUCAGCACCAUGAAAACCUUCCGGGAUCUCUUCCUCCGCGCCCUGAAGGAGAACAAGGAUCGGAAGGAGCAGGCGGCCAAGGCUGAGAGGAGGAAGCAGCAGCUGGCGGAGGAGGAGGCCCGCAGGCCGCGGGCCGCGGGCGGCAAGGCAGCCAGGAGAGGAGGCGGGAAGCAGGAAGAGGUGUGUGUCAUCGACGCCCUGCUGGCUGACAUCAGGAAGGGCUUCCAGCUGCGUAAGACGGCCCGCGGCCGAGGGGACGCAGAGGCAGCCAGCAGGGCACCCACCACCGACCCCCCGAGGAACAAGGCACCUGCCACCACCAGGGAUGCCGUGGGAGGUGCCAGCCCCCCCAGCUCUGAGCCUGGUCUGGAUGCUGCAGCCGCCAGGGAGCCCCAGAGCUGGGACCUCGCGGAUGCCACUCCCACCAGCCUCCAGCCCACUGGAGACUCAUCAGAGAUGGGUGGCCCUGGGUCCCUGGAGAGGCGCUCUUCCUGGUACACAGAUGCCAGUGAUUUCCUGCCCAUGGAGGACCCCCAGGGCCCCCAGCCCCCUGCAGGGGCUUGGCCAGUGGUACUGGGAGACGCUCAAGUCCUGAAGCCCCUCGACUUCAGUGCCCAGCCCCCCAAAGCCAUGGAUCUGAGGCCAGACGCUGAGGAGCCCCUGGCCGCGCUGGGUGCCUGCCAGGCCGAGGCCAGCAGCACAGAUGAGGGCCCGGAGGAUGCAGCUGCCCACUGCCGCCACGCCGGCCUCCCCGCUGCAGGCCCUGAUGAGGACGGGGACGGGGAGCUCACGGCCCCAGACUCCGCGCUGGACACCUCCCUGGACAGGUCCUUCUCCGAGGAUGCGGUGACUGACUCGUCGGGGUCCAGCACCCUCCCCAGGGCUCAGGGCCGGACGUCAAAGGGCACAGGCAAACGGAGGAAGAAACGCCCCUCCAGGAACCAGGAAGAGGUUGCCCCCGACCCUGACGAUAAUAAAACAAAAAGGCUCUGUGUGAUCCAGUGAGACCAGUUUGAGUCGUCAGGACAUGCUGCCCCUGGGCUCGUCCCUGGCCCCCAGGCCUCAGGCCCAGGUCCAGAGCCAAGUGAGAGGAGCCAUGGCAAGGCUGCUGGGUGAGCUGCUGGGCGGGGCCCCGGGCCAGGCUGGGCCAGCCCCCAGGAAGCCCAGACUCCGUGCCUUACCCGGCCUCACCGCGGCCUCUCGGAGCCUAGGGCCGUUGAGGCCAGGACCCCCUGGCGCCCCCUGGCCUGCCUGCACGCCCCUGCCCUCGUGGUUUGCUUCCUAAAUGCCGCUGCCCAGCCCCGACCCACACGGCAUGCACCACCCAGGGCGGACGGCCAAGUGGCUGCAUCCGGGGCACCCCGAGCUUGUGACCUGGCUCCCAGAUUACCCUGGGGAUAGGCCCUCACAGACCUCCCGCCGAAGCGACGGAGCCAGGGAGGACCGGAGCCCCCGCUCCACAGCUCUGCCCCCAACUCACUCAGCUGGGCUGAAGCAGUCGUUUUUUAACUGAAAUGGGAUGAUUUGUGGGUUUCUACUGUUUUGUGUGGCUGAGCUGGGGACAGGUAGGUGGGUGAGAGGACCCAGGGCCUUUGGGUAGAGGCAGGCUGUCUGGCCGUGCACGGGAGAGCCAGGGCCCCUCUACUCAGAAGAGGGGGAACCCCAUGGAAUCGGCACCCAUCCCCACACCUCCAGCCCUGAGGUGGGGAGGGGGCUGCCCUUGGGGUCCCUUCGUCAACAAGACACGCGGCCUGCAACUGCUGCCCCCUCCUCCAGGCCCCACUGGGCUGAGGGGAGGCCAGGAUCCAGGCUGAGGGGCCAGAGGGGCUGCCAUCUCUCCUCACUGACCUGUGGGCCCCUUGCACUGCCCCCACCCUAUGUGUGUGUGCUACCAAGACUGGAGAAACUUUGGCCAAUAAAGA